GAGUCAAUAUAUCUGGUCACUGAAGGUUCAGGGAGUCAAUAUAUCUGGUCACUGAAGGUUCAGGGAGUCAAUAUAUCUGGUCACUGAAGGUUCAGGGAGUCAACAUCAAUAUAUCUGGUUACUGAAGGUACAGGGAGUCAAUAUAUCUGGUCACUGAAGGUUCAGGGAGUCAAUAUAUCUGGUCACUGAAGGUUCAGGGAGUCAAUAUAUCUGGUCACUGAAGGUACAGGGAGUCAAUAUAUCUGGUCACU